GGUACUCAGAGAACCUUAAUCCAUACAAAAAUGACAAUUGUAAAAGAAAACUAAAAACUGAAAGCAUUUAUACAAUAAUAUAUUCUACAAGUAAAAUACAAGGUCUCAAAUUUUGCAUCACCGCAUAGUGCACCUAAGUCUAAUUAUCAAGAGUGAAAUGCAGCCAAAGCUAGACCUUUGCCAACCAAUUUCGUAAAUGGAAUGGAAGUUUAACUUGAAAAACUUUUCUAUUACCUUCAAAAAGUUUUAACGUCAAUGUGUCAUUCGAUGUAAAACUUAUGUGGCCAUUAAAGGGCGCGGCGUGCGUGAUGGCCCGGUCGGAGCGCGGCGCGGCACACACUAGGGCGGGCGGCGGACACGGCAGCGUUACGUCAGCGCGGGGCGCAGGGCCGGGGGGAGGGCCCCGCACUACUGCAUCCUCCGAGCGCCCAUCUUCGCCCGGCUUCGCUGAAAAACGUGACAUCUCUGCUCCGCGCCGACCGCUCCCCGCGCGCCCCGCUCCAUCUCUCUCCAAGGACCGUACCAUCACUCACUCGUGGUCAUUUUGUGUAGAAACUCAUUACGUAGAUGCAAUUACGGGUACGGUCACAUUUAUAUUAGUUAAUUUACUUAUAAUAAGGUAUUCCAUUUUAAAUCAGUCAAUUAAGUGAAAUAACUUGGAAAUCAAUUUUUGAGUAAAAAAAUACUGACGUAUCUUCGACGUUUGGUUCGGUGCAAGUUUGUUUUUUGAAAUAACUUUGACGUGAACUAACCUUUUGUCGUUGAGAUUUGUUGUUUUUAAUUUUGAAUGAAUGCCCCUCAUGUCUAAUGUGUUCGCUUUGUGUAAAAUUAUGUACAGUAUAACUUUUUAUAAUAAGAGUUAUUAUUCUGUCCAACGACUAAAAUUAAAAGGUAUAAAAAAUGGGAAUUCAAGAAAACAACAACAUUUUUUUAAGAUUUAUUUUUCUUUGAAUAAUAAUAAAAAACAAAAUUUAAACUCUAAGAAAGAAAUUCGGCAUUCAGCAAAGAUAUAAUUAUGGAAAUAAUAAUUGCUAGAAUUUAUAAAUGUUAAUUAACUUAUCAAUAAACUCUAUUUAACGUAAUUAAAUUAUGAGGUAGAUGUUUGCAAAUAGUCUUUCAUUAAAAUCUUAUAAAUUAAAACUAUAUUAUAACUACUGCUAUAUAAAAUGAAAUGCAAAAAGACCCGUAGUGAAUAAUAUCUAUUAACCGAUCUGCCGCUACCGUGAUGUCAUGCCGACUACAAUUACUACAUACCAUUUACUAUUUAAGUGUUUCAUUAAUUAAUUAUUUAUAGAAAAGAUAAGAUUUCAGUUGUUAUUGAAAAAUGUAGGUCAAGUUUAACAAGCAUGUCAGUGUUUAAACUGAAUGUUGAACAAUUCAUGAUUGUAAUUCUUGUCUAAUGCGCAUGUCACCGAACACAGAUCAUUUUCAACUGCAAUUUAAAAAUAAAUGACAUAUAAUUUGAUGUUAUUUGUUGAUAUAGUAUGUUAACUAAUGUUAACAUGUAAGUUACUAGAAAAUUAUUGUACAAUUUGUUAAAUUGUAAUCUGAAAACUUUUAAGUAAUUUUCCAACUUCUGUGCCCGGUGCAUACAAUAAUGAAGUAUGUAGCAUACAUUUUUAACUCAAAAAUUAUUUACGACUCUACAAUUUAAUGUUUCAAUUAUAUUUCUAUCCAAAAGUAAAAAUUGAAAUUUUUACAUACAAACAUUGUUUUGCCGUUAAACAAAAUGCAGAGGCACCACUGUAAACUGAGCCUUUUUUGUCGUGUUACACAAGUACUAUGUCAUUUUAAUAAGUAUUAAUAAAAAGUGGUUUAUCGAACAUUGUUCUACGAAAUUGUAAAAUCUUAAAACAAAAUCUUAAAUUCAUUGGUAUCUAACGCAGGCGGACAUUACACAUUAAUUAUUCCUUAACUAGACAAAUUGUACAUUACCUGUGUAUGUGGUUUGCUACUUAAAAUUACCGUAGACGAAGUAUUCAUAAAUAUGUAUAGAAUUUAAUAAGAAAAGUGCAAGAGACAGUUUCAGUGGGCCUAUGUUAAGUGAUCUUGAUAACUCGUUGGCGCUACGACAGUCAGUUUUAUAACCUAAAAACAAAUACAGUAAAAUAUCUUUACUACAAUAACUAAGACAUAUUCAUAAAUAUUGAGGUAGAUUAUUACUCCUUAUUAUUGUGAAUCUAAACCUACCUAAAAAGAUUUUGUGUGUAAAAAACAAAGUCUUCAAUUAACAUCGAUGGGUAGGAAAUAUUUUGCAAUAGCAAAAAUAUUUAUUAUGAACAGGAUACUGAAAUUAUUGUUUCUAAUAACAAUGUUUGUGCUUCUGAGCUCAAUUAUAGGACGCCGCUUUAAUUCUUUGGAUAGCAAUGCCUUAAUGUAACAGAUUUUAACAUACAAUUUCCAUUCUGUAUCAACCACAUUAGUUUCCCGAGUAACUUACUGAUGCUUUACUGCACAGGCAGAUUCUAAUUUUCAAAGUAACUCCAUUAAUUAUGAAUUACCCUAUUGGCUUUAUAUUUAAAAAUGCCUUCAUCAUGUUUGAGUUAUAUUACUCGUACAUCAUUCGAUCCAAAUCUGCGUUUGAAUACUCUUACCCAGUAAUAUUUUUUUUGGUAAACUCUGAUUGCAGGAUCGUUUAAGUACCCACACUAUACUCGCGUUCUUCUACUUAAUUAUGAUUAGGCUCUUGAGCAAACUAAGUCGCAAAUGUUAUACAUGGCAAAGUUAAUCUAAAAUAAUUAUCGUAGUUUGUACUAUCUGUUGUAUAAAGUAUAGCAUUCGUAAUUCGUAUGCUUAGGGCAAGUAAUAGAAAAUCGUACUGAAUCUACACUUAAUUAUAAUAUUUCUACAAUUAUUGCAACAAUGUUAAUUUGACUUUGGCACAUUAACUUCAACGUUUACAUUGUAUUUAUCUGAAAAAAUAUACAAACAAAUUGAUAUUUAUUUUCUCGCCUAAGCUAACCAUCUAAUAUAAUAUUUAAGGGCUUACAUUAAAUUCUAUUUUGCAGCGUAUGUAUAUGCGGGCUCUACUCUUACCUUGAAGGUUUUGUACUCUACAUUACAAUGCAGGAUUUUAUACUUAAAUGUUACUAUUUGUUUUGAUUUUAGUAGGUAUCAAGUUAUUACUUCUUCACCGAGUUAAGCGUAUGUAAGACCCUUACAA
rnacentral:lncRNA from 1 species